AAGAAAGAUAAAACUGUAGCUAGCGUGGAUGUACCGACACUACAGUUUUAUCUUUCUUCUAGUCUCUCUGAUGUACCUCCACGCUAGCUACAAUUUUAUCUUUC
rnacentral:pre_miRNA from 1 species